rnacentral:rRNA from 1 species
UACGGAGGGUGCAAGCGUUGGCCGGAUUCACUGGGUGUAAAGGGUGUGUAGGCGGAGCAGCAAGUCAGUGGUGAAAGCCUGCGGCUUAACCGUAGAAUUGCCAUAGAUACUGCUGUUCUUGAGUACUGGAGAGGCUGCUAGAAUUCGUGGUGUAGCGGUGAAAUGCGUAGAUAUCACGAGGAAUACCAGAGGCGUAGGCGGGUAGCUGGACAGAUACUGACGCUGAGGCACGAAAGUGUGGGGAGCAAACACG